rnacentral:rRNA from 1 species
UACGUAGGCAGCAAGCGUUGUUCGGAAUUACUGGGCGUAAAGGGUGCGUAGGCGGCGCGCUAAGUUUGGUGUGAAAUCUCCCGGCUUAACUGGGAGGGUGCACUGAAAACUGGGGCGCUUGAGUAUGGGAGAGGAAAGCGGAAUUCCUGGUGUAGCGGUGAAAUGCGUAGAGAUCAGGAGGAACACCUGCGGUGUAGACGGCUUUCUGGACCAUAACUGACGCUGAGGCACGAAAGCGUGGGUAGCAAACAGG